GCGGUGCGACUAGAAUGAAUGUUAUCAUUCUCCGGAGAGCCCAUGCUGUCUCCCCGGGCCCUCUUUCUGCUUCAUACAUGGACACUUCGGGGAUAAGCGGUGCCAGUCGCUCGGGAGGGACAAAGAUUCACCUUGGUGGGGAUGGUGCAGGACUAUAAAUGAAGACACUUGAAAAGGCCAACACUGUAAUUGCGAGUUUAAAUCACCAGGACCAGACAGACUAUUAAUGAUAGACCACCUAAAGAGGCGGUUACCGUGGAGACGGCAUUCCCAUAGGACCGACUUAUGACGAACGCACAAACAAGACCAUCAAUACGCAAACACACCCACGGAAAGCUGAGCACAGGGUACACUCGAUGUCCCAAAUGUAGGUUUGUACACACGUUGCACACAAAGUGAGGGUGUAAGCAGGGAAUCACUCAAUUGCAUUCAAUACAUGAUCAUUUAUUCAAUGAAAGAUGCAAUAAAGGCUACAUUAAAUUAGAAAUAUUUCACGUCAUGUCAUGCAAGUCCAUUUGAAGAUUAGUGUGUUUGGGGGGGAGAGGGGUGUUUGUGUGUAGGUAUGUGUGUGUGUGUGUGUGUGUUCAUACAAAAUAGGUGACGGAGUGAAUCAGUGACACACGAAAGACACAGAAUAAAUGACAUUGGGUUAAAAAUAUCUUUUUCUUUGUAAGUUGUCCACGUUUUUUCGACUGAUUGAGUACAAAUUUGCAUCACUGGAUCUGAAAAUGUCAGGUCAGGUUGUCAAACGUUUAUUAAUCAAACAUGACAAAUUUUGCUUACCGUAAAGUGAAUAAUAGACUGAUAAAAGUAAGUACUUUAAAAUGUAAUGUUACAUCAUCGUUCAGGGUAUUUUCAGGGUAUGAAGCUCUGUUUAUUUGAACCUCUAAAAUGAAACUAUCUGUACAUGUAAACGAAAACAUGGCCAUCGUUCAAAAUGUUGAGCUGAUUGAGCAAAAUCAAUGUGAUAUUUGGAUUCAGCACAUCAAAACUGCACUAAAUCAACGCAAACAAAAAUCUUAGACAAUAGAUUUGCUGUUGCCCGGUGUUCUGAGUGAAAGGGCAGCAGGCCAGCACAGUGGCCUGAAUCCCAAGUCCCUUCUGUUUGUGAACAAGAGCUACAUUGACUAUGAUAUUACACAUGAUGUGUGUUCUGUAUUUCUGUAUUCACACAUGCCUAUGUUCAUACUGCCGCCUUCUUUACUUUGCUUUUCAAUACAUAUUUGUUGUCAUACUGUAGAUUAUUUAUCAGAAACCUGUUUCAUGUAAAAAGUGGAAGUAGUACAGUUGCAUUUCAUUGUUAAUUUUUUUAAAUUCAUUGUGUGUUUCUGACUUACUUGGCAAAUAAAGAGGAUUCUGAUUAAGGUC